ACUGAUUUGUGUUCAAGUUGAAAAACUCAGACCUAAGAAACACUCACAGAAGAGGACUUCCAGAACUGUUUCAGAAAGUAAGAAGAGUGAGGCAGUGUUACGUACACGAACCAACUACCUGCAAUGAAUGUAAUCAUUAUGUAAGUCAACACAUAGUAACAAGAAAAAAUUUUAAAAUUGAGAUAAAAUUUGAAUAAAUAAAACUACCAUUAAAAGUAAAGAAACUAGCAGGAAUGAUGGGGAGUUUGUGUUCAAAAUGAGGGGGUUAAUGGCAAUGCGUCUUUUCCUGUAACAAUUAUUUUUAAUUUAAACAUUCACCAUAUAGUUUGAUCACACACAGUUACACAUAUGUCUAUAAUACAG
rnacentral:lncRNA from 1 species